AAUUGUACACAGUUGAUAAAAUAUUACCGUCAUAAAUAAGCCGCACAAACUGCAGUUUACCAUCAUGUAGGUGUAUGAUAUUACUAAAACAAUAUUAUAUUAAUCGCCGUUUUGCGUACAAGCGUGCGGUGUUAACCGUUUUUGGAGCGUUACCAACAUCGGAAACCGUUUUAUUGAAUUCGAUUGUUGGGCGAUAUAAAAUAAAUAAACGGUUUUCAGCAUAACAACGCGUUUAAUUUUAGACUGCUCGAACAGCACGCGUAAUAAUGCGCCGCGGAGGUCCAAGAAUCUCGCCGAAAGACGCCCGCCGCAGAGUUCACGCGCUUUUAUAUUAAUGUAACGUCCGUUGCUGUGUCGACGAGCGUUUUUUCAAUCGAGUUAAUUCGUUGUUUUUUUUUUUCUAAACCCGGAACGUAGCGAGCAGUGGGCACACGCAUGAUUUUUUUCAGGGAAAGUCGUGUGUACAAUAAUUGUCUACAGAGAGGAUACCCCGAUAUAUUAUCACUGCAAUACUAUAUCAUCACCAUUAUUACUGAACAAUGAAUGACACUGAAAUAAAUUGCAUUAUUCUAUUCUGUGGUAUACGGUAAUAUUACGCUGCUGAAUGAAUACCUUGAUUUAAAACAAAUGUGUGAAGAAAGACGUUUUGGGGGAAGAGGGUGGUCUGACCCCGUAACCUACCAUCCCCCACCUCU